rnacentral:rRNA from 1 species
UACGGGAGGCAGCAGUGGGGAAUAUUGCACAAUGGGCGCAAGCCUGAUGCAGCGACGCCGCGUGAGGGAUGACGGCCUUCGGGUUGUAAACCUCUUUCAGUAGGGAAGAAGCGUAAGUGACGGUACCUGCAGAAGAAGCGCCGGCUAACUACGUGCCAGCAGCCGCGGUAAUACGUAGGGCGCAAGCGUUAUCCGGAAUUAUUGGGCGUAAAGAGCUCGUAGGCGGUUUGUCGCGUCUGCCGUGAAAGUCCGGGGCUCAACUCCGGAUCUGCGGUGGGUACGGGCAGACUAGAGUGAU